UCGAACGAAUUCUUCGGAAAGAGAUUGGUACAGCUUAGUGGCGGACGGGUGAGUAACGCGUGAGUAACCUGCCUUUCAGAGGGGGAUAACGUUUGGAAACGAACGCUAAUACCGCAUAACAUAUUAAAUUCGCAUGGAUUUGAUAUCAAAGGAGCAAUCCGCUGAAAGAUGGACUCGCGUCCAAUUAGCUAGUUGGUGAGGUAACGGCCCACCAAGGCGACGAUUGGUAGCCGGACUGAGAGGUUGAACGGCCACAUUGGGACUGAGACACGGCCCAGACUCC
rnacentral:rRNA from 1 species